rnacentral:rRNA from 1 species
UACAGAGGUCUCAAGCGUUGUUCGGAUUCAUUGGGCGUAAAGGGUGUGUAGGUGGCGCCGUAAGUCGGGUGUGAAAUUUCGGAGCUUAACUCCGAAACUGCAUUCGAUACUGCGGUGCUUGAGGACUGGAGAGGAGACUGGAAUUCAUGGUGUAGCAGUGAAAUGCGUAGAUAUCGGGAGGAACACCAGUGGCGAAGGCGACUUCUUGGCCUGUUCUUGACGCUGAGGCGCGAAAGCUGGGGGAGCAAACGGGG